UCCCCCUCCAGUAUUCGUGUUUUUAUAGACAAUAACAUGCUCGUAGAAGCAAAUUUUGAAUUAUUAGGAGAUGGGGAUCAUGUAUAUCUAAAUUAUUCAUUUCCAAAAUGUAUUGAGCAAUGGCUACAGUACCCAACAGGAGACAAUUUGAGGUUUAUAUUUGAAAGCAAUGAAGAAGUUACAGUGAUGUUUAAAAGUUGCGGAGUUCACAUAAUCUAUAAGCAUGAAGAGAAUGAGAGUUUAACAGUUGGGGAGUGCUCAAUAGAUUCAUCGAAUGGUAUCCAACUUUGUAAGAGACGCCGAGAUAUUGAUGAAGAUCACAACUUGGAAUUCAACGGGUGUCCACAUUACAAGAGGCGCUCUCAAAACUUGAGCAAUUCAAAUGUGGUUGUCAAUUGCGCAGAUGUUGACGGUGAUUUUGCAGAAGCAGAAGAAGGCUCUAAGGGAAGUUUAAAAGGAGAAUAAGUACCUGCCUCUCAAUCUAUAUCCCAAGAAGGCCAGGGCAAUUCGGAGAAGGCUUACUAGGCACUAGGAUUUUAUGCUGCCGGUGCAAAAGGGUUUCUCAAAUGUCUAAGAAGUAUGUGGCUCAAAUCAAGUGGAACACAUCUUACAGAUAAAGCAGGCUAAUGCCGAAAGUGGAGCGAGGUGUUAGCUGUCAAUCCACAUCAUCUUCCUGCUCAAAUAUAAAACCAAGCAACUCCAAGUCAGUUGCACAUGAGGAUCCAAAACCAGCUCAGGAAAAAGAAUCUUCUGGAAAACAAUUAGAUGUAAUCUAAUAAUAUUGUGUAAUUUUUUUUUUUUUUGUACUGAGGAAUUUUCCCUUCUGUUGUAACAAAAUCUUACAGCUGGCACUAGGCCAUUGGCCCACCACAUGUCUGUAAAAAUGUCAGAAUCAUCUCGGCACAUCACUCUCUAUAAAUAGGACAUUGUACAAACAAUACAAAUCAAUUGAGAGGAAUAUUUGAAAACUCUGUUUCCCGCAUGGUAUCCAGAGUCAUUAUAGA